rnacentral:misc_RNA from 1 species
GAUGAAGAACGUAGCGAAAUGCGAUAAGUAAUGUGAAUUGCAGAAUUCAGUGAAUCACCGAAUCUUUGAACGCAUCUUGCGCUCCUUGGUAUUCUGAGGAGCAUGCCUGUUUGAGUGUCAUUAAAUUCUCAACUACACUGACUUUGAAUUGGUGUGGCUUGGAUUUGGGUGGGAAAAUUGUUGUGGGCUUUUUGUAUAGUCUGCUCCCCUGAAAUUGAUUAGCGGUACCUUUGUGGAACUGUCUACAGGUGUGAUAAUUAUCUACAUCCUAGACAUCUGCUGGAAUGCUGCUUUCUAAACCUUACUUGUAUUGACAAUCUUGACCUCAAAUCAGGUAGGACUACCCGCUGAACUUAAGCAUAUCAAUAAGCGGAGGA